rnacentral:rRNA from 1 species
CCUACGGGAGGCAGCAGUGGGGAAUAUUGCACAAUGGGCGAAAGCCUGAUGCAGCGACGCCGCGUGAGGGAUGACGGCCUUCGGGUUGUAAACCUCUUUCAGCAGGGAAGAAGCGAAAGUGACGGUACCUGCAGAAGAAGCGCCGGCUAACUACGUGCCAGCAGCCGCGGUAAUACGUAGGGCGCAAGCGUUGUCCGGAAUUAUUGGGCGUAAAGAGCUCGUAGGCGGCUUGUCACGUCGGGUGUGAAAGCCCGGGGCUUAACCCCGGGUCUGCAUUCGAUACGGGCUAGCUAGAGUGUGGUAGGGGAGAUCGGAAUUCCUGGUGUAGCGGUGAAAUGCGCAGAUAUCAGGAGGAACACCGGUGGCGAAGGCGGAUCUCUGGGCCAUUACUGACGCUGAGGAGCGAAAGCGUGGGGAGCGAACAGGAUUAGAUACCCUGGUAGUCCACGCCGUAAACGGUGGGAACUAGGUGUUGGCGACAUUCCACGUCGUCGGUGCCGCAGCUAACGCAUUAAGUUCCCGCCUGGGGAGUACGGCCGCAAGGCUAAAACUCAAAAUGAAAUUGACGG